rnacentral:tRNA from 1 species
CGUAGCUCAGUGGAUGAGAGCAUUGGUUUCCGGUACCAAAGGUCGCAGGUUCGAAUCCUGUCGG